CGAAACCAGGUGAUCUACCCAUGUCCAGGAUGAAGGUAAGGUAAUACUUACUGGAGGUCCGAACCCACGCACGUUGAAAAGUGCGGGGAUGAGGUGUGGGUAGCGGAGAAAUUCCAAUCGAACUUGGAGAUAGCUGGUUCUCUCCGAAAUAGCUUUAGGGCUAGCCUCGAGGUAAAGAGUCAUGGAGGUAGAGCACUGUUUGGACUAGGGGCCCUUCUCGGGUUACCGAAUUCAGAUAAACUCCGAAUGCCAUGUACUUAUACUCGGGAGUCAGACUGCGAGUGAUAAGAUCCGUAGUCGAAAGGGAAACAGCCCAGACCACCAGUUAAGGUCCCCAAAUAUAUGUUAAGUGGAAAAGGAUGUGGGGUUGCUUAGACAACCAGGAUGUUGGCUUAGAAGCAGCCACCAUUGAAAGAGUGCGUAAUAGCUCACUGGUCGAGUGACCCCGCGCCGAAAAUGUACCGGGGCUAAACAUAUUACCGAAACUGUGGAUGAACCUCUUCGGAGGUUCGUGGUAGGAGAGCGUUCUAAGGGCGGUGAAGUCAGACCGGAAGGACUGGUGGAGCGCUUAGAAGUGAGAAUGCCGGUAUGAGUAGCGAAAGAAGGGUGAGAAUCCCUUCCACCGAAUAUCUAAGGUUUCCUGAGGAAGGCUCGUCCGCUCAGGGUUAGUCGGGACCUAAGCCGAGGCCGAUAGGCGUAGGCGAUGGACAACAGGUAGAGAUUCCUGUACCAGUGCUAAUUGUUUAACCGAUGGGGUGACACAGAAGGAUAGGGAAUCGCACGAAUGGAAAUGUGCGUCCAAGCAGUGAGUGUGAGAAGUAGGCAAAUCCGCUUCUCGCGAAGCAUGAGCUGUGAUGGGGAAGGAAAUUAAGUACGGAAGUUCCUGAUUUCACGCUGUCAAGAAAAGCCUCUAGGAAGAGUAGUACUGCCCGUACCGCAAACCGACACAGGUAGAUGAGGAGAGAAUCCUAAGGUGAGCGAGAGAACUCUCGUUAAGGAACUCGGCAAAAUGACCCCGUAACUUCGGGAGAAGGGGUGCUCUAUUAGGGUGCAAGCCCGAGAGAGCCGCAGUGAAUAGGCCCAGGCGACUGUUUAGCAAAAACACAGGUCUCUGCAAAACCGUAAGGUGACGUAUAGGGGCUGACGCCUGCCCGGUGCUGGAAGGUUAAGAGGAGUGCUUAGCUUCGGCGAAGGUACGAAUUGAAGCCCCAGUAAACGGCGGCCGUAACUAUAACGGUCCUAAGGUAGCGAAAUUCCUUGUCGGGUAAGUUCCGACCCGCACGAAAGGCGCAACGAUCUGGGCACUGUCUCAACGAGAGACUCGGUGAAAUUAUAGUACCUGUGAAGAUGCAGGUUACCCGCGACAGGACGGAAAGACCCCGUGGAGCUUUACUGCAACCUGAUAUGGAAUGUUUGUACCGCUUGUACAGGAUAGGUAGGAGCCGAAGAGACGUGUGCGCUAGCAUACGAGGAGGCAAUGGUGGGAUACUACCCUGGCUGUAUGACCAUUCUAACCCGCCACGCUUAGCGCGUGGGGAGACAGUGUCAGGUGGGCAGUUUGACUGGGGCGGUCGCCUCCUAAAGAGUAACGGAGGCGCCCAAAGGUUCCCUCAGAAUGGAUGGAAAUCAUUCGCAGAGUGUAAAGGCACAAGGGAGCUUGACUGCGAGACUGACAAGUCGAGCAGGGACGAAAGUCGGGCUUAGUGAUCCGGUGGUUCCGCAUGGAAGGGCCAUCGCUCAACGGAUAAAAGCUACCCCGGGGAUAACAGGCUUAUCUCCCCCAAGAGUCCACAUCGACGGGGAGGUUUGGCACCUCGAUGUCGGCUCGUCGCAUCCUGGGGCUGUAGUCGGUCCCAAGGGUUGGGCUGUUCGCCCAUUAAAGCGGCACGCGAGCUGGGUUCAGAACGUCGUGAGACAGUUCGGUCCCUAUCCGUCGCGGGCGCAGGAAAUUUGAGAGGAGCUGUCCUUAGUACGAGAGGACCGGGAUGGACACACCGCUGGUGUACCAGUUGUUCCGCCAGGAGCAUCGCUGGGUAGCUAUGUGUGGCAGGGAUAAACGCUGAAAGCAUCUAAGCGUGAAGCCCCCCUCAAGAUGAGAUUUCCCAUUUCUUCGGAAAGUAAGAUCCCUGAAAGAUGAUCAGGUAGAUAGGUUUGGAGUGGAAGUGUAGCGAUACAUGGAGCGGACAAAUACUAAUC
rnacentral:rRNA from 1 species